GUUAAGAUAGCAAAAUAGGUAAUUGCGUAAAAUUUAAGACUUUACAUUAGAGGUUCAAAUCCUCUUCUUAACA
rfam:Fukomys damarensis contig114792, whole genome shotgun sequence.